rnacentral:rRNA from 1 species
UACGGGGGGUGCGAGCGUUGUCCGGAAUCACUGGGCGUAAAGAGCUCGUAGGCGGUUUGUUGCGUCGGCUGUGAAAACCUGAGGCUCAACCUCAGGCCUGCAGUCGAUACGAGCAGACUAGAGUGUUGCAGGGGAGACUGGAAUUCCUGGUGUAGCGGUGAAAUGCGCAGAUAUCAGGAGGAACACCGGUGGCGAAGGCGGGUCUCUGGGCAACAACUGACGCUGAGGAGCGAAAGCGUGGGGAGCGAACAGG